GAGGUGGCAAGCGUUGUCCGGAAUUAUUGGGCGUAAAGCGCGCGCAGGCGGUUCUUUAAGUCUGAUGUGAAAGCCCACGGCUCAACCGUGGAGGGUCAUUGGAAACUGGAGAACUUGAGUACAGAAGAGGAAAGCGGAAUUCCACGUGUAGCGGUGAAAUGCGUAGAGAUGUGGAGGAACACCAGUGGCGAAGGCGGCUUUCUGGUCUGUAACUGACGCUGAGGCGCGAAAGCGUGGGGAGCAAACAGGGAUUAGAUACCCUGGUAGUCCACGCCGUAAACGAUGAGUGCUAAGUGUUAGGGGGUUUCCGCCCCCUUAGUGCUGCAGCUAACGCAUUAAGCACUCCGCCUGGGGAGUACGGCCGCAAGGCUG
rnacentral:rRNA from 1 species